AGAAAAUGAUUCCAAGGGUAUAUGAUCAAGUGUCUAUCAGGUGUUGGCCAUGAUUUGGAAACUGCGUAGAGGAGAGAACCAUAAUACAUCUUUCUUAAAGAGCGUGGAAUUGCAAAUCCUGGAGUCUAUUUAAAGAUCUAAGUGAGCUCUCCUACCCUGUCAGUGAGAUCGAUGUCUGCUUUCCUCGAUACUGCAUGAGCAUACCUUCACAAAAUGUGCUGGAACUUCUCAGGGAUCACUAGAGGCACGGCGGCGGCCCCAGAGGCAGAGUAGGCCUCCAGUGGAAGACAAUAUUAGCCAUGAAAGAAAAUCUGCUGUCUGUCUAGGCCACUGCUUCACCCCUCAGCUCCUGGUAAAGAACCUAGAGGAGAGAAGACAUGCACACAAAAUGAAAUUGAGCAGUAGGAGUAUCAGUCAGAGAGAGAGAGAGGCAGAGACACAGGCAGAGGGAGAAGCAGGCUCCAUGCACCGGGAGCCC